rnacentral:rRNA from 1 species
GACGAACGCUGGCGGCGUGCCUAAUACAUGCAAGUCGAACGCUGAAGGAGGAGCUUGCUUCUCUGGAUGAGUUGCGAACGGGUGAGUAACGCGUAGGUAACCUACCUGGUAGCGGGGGAUAACUAUUGGAAACGAUAGCUAAUACCGCAUAAGAGUAGAUGUCGCAUGACAUUUGCUUAAAAGGUGCAAUUGCAUCACUACCAGAUGGACCUGCGUUGUAUUAGCUAGUUGGUGAGGUAACGGCUCACCAAGGCAACGAUACAUAGCCGACCUGAGAGGGUGAUCGGCCACACUGGGACUGAGACACGGCCCAGACUCCUACGGGAGGCAGCAGUAGGGAAUCUUCGGCAAUGGACGGAAGUCUGACCGAGCAACGCCGCGUGAGUGAAGAAGGUUUUCGGAUCGUAAAGCUCUGUUGUAAGAGAAGAACGAGUGUGAGAGUGGAACGUUCACACUGUGACGGUAUCUUACCAGAAAGGGACGGCUAACUACGUG